CAGAGGUCCCAAGCGUUGUUCGGAUUCACUGGGCGUAAAGGGUGCGUAGGUGGCCGGGAAAGUUCGAUGUGAAAGCUCGGAGCUUAACUCCGAAAUGGCAUUGAAUACUAUUCGGCUUGAGGGUCGGAGGGGAGACUGGAAUUCUCGGUGUAGCAGUGAAAUGCGUAGAUAUCGAGAGGAACACCAGUGGCGAAGGCGAGUCUCUGGACGACACCUGACACUGAGGCACGAAAGCUAGGGGAGCAAACAGGAUUAGAUACCCUGGUAGUCCUAGCUGUAAACGGUGCACGUUUGCUGUAAGAGGAAUCGACCCCUUUUGUGGCGAAGCUAACGCGAUAAACGUGCCGCCUGGGGAGUACGGUCGCAAGAUUA
rnacentral:rRNA from 1 species